UACAGAGGUCUCAAGCGUUGUUCGGAUUCAUUGGGCGUAAAGGGUGCGUAGGCGGCGCGGUAUGUCGGGUGUGAAAUCUUGGAGCUUAACUCCGAAACUGCAUUCGAUACUGCCGUGCUUGAGGACUGGAGAGGAGACUGGAAUUUACGGUGUAGCGGUGAAAUGCGUAGAUAUCGUAAGGAAGACCAGUGGCGAAGGCGGGUCUCUGGACAGUUCCUGACGCUGAGGCACGAAGGUCAGGGGAGCAAACGGG
rnacentral:rRNA from 1 species